UUAUUAUGCGACCCUGUUUUCACCGAAAAAAUGAAGAAAACUCGGAAGGGUUUUUAUCAAUCUUUUUAAAUGAAACUUUGAUUUUCAAUCAUUUCAGCCCCUCGUACAAGAUAUGGUGAAUUGAAUUGUAGUCAUUCAUGUACCAAAUGAUUCUUGUUUACUGCAAAAUUGGCAACCGAAACGACACUUCUCACUGCAAAUUUUGAAAAAUACUCCCAAGAAAACUCAUUUAUUUUAGGUUUAAAAAGAGAAAAUGAAAACUGUAACUAUUUCAGCCGCUAGUUUAGGAAAUGAUUAUUUAAGAACGUUAACGGUUUUUGAAUAAAUACUAAUAGUUACGUCGUAAUGUUGAAUGAAAAAGGAGGCAUUUUGCAAAAUACGCUCGUUUGUAGGAAUAAGGACUCUUAAGAUUUUCACACAAAAAUAGAAAAAAAAAAACAAAAAAUUUUUGGGG